rnacentral:rRNA from 1 species
AUCCCAAAAGGUAACAGAGAUGUGCAAAGGUUUCCUCAGGCCGAACGGAGACGGGGCCUCGACUGCAAGACAUUUCCAUCGAGUAGUCGGUCUUAGUGAUCCGACAAUAUCGAGUGAAAGGGCUGUCGCUUAAC